rnacentral:rRNA from 1 species
UGCAGUCGAACGAUGAAGCCCAGCUUGCUGGGUGGAUUAGUGGCGAACGGGUGAGUAACACGUGAGUAACCUGCCCUUAACUCUGGGAUAAGCCUGGGAAACUGGGUCUAAUACCGGAUAGGAGCGCCUACCGCAUGGUGGGUGUUGGAAAGAUUUAUCGGUUUUGGAUGGACUCGCGGCCUAUCAGCUUGUUGGUGAGGUAAUGGCUCACCAAGGCGACGACGGGUAGCCGGCCUGAGAGGGUGACCGGCCACACUGGGACUGAGACACGGCCCAGACUCCUACGGGAGGCAGCAGUGGGGAAUAUUGCACAAUGGGCGAAAGCCUGAUGCAGCGACGCCGCGUGAGGGAUGACGGCCUUCGGGUUGUAAACCUCUUUCAGUAGGGAAGAAGCGAAAGUGACGGUACCUGCAGAAGAAGCACCGGCUAACUACGUGCCAGCAGCCGCGGUAAUACGUAGGGUGCGAGCGUUAUCCGGAAUUAUUGGGCGUAAAGAGCUCGUAGGCGGUUUGUCGCUUCUGUCGUGAAAGUCCGGGGCUUAACCCCGGAUUUGCGGUGGGUACGGGCAGACUAGAUUCAGUAGGGGAGACUGGAAUUCCUGGUGUAGCGGUGGAAUGCGCAGAUAUCAGGAGGAACACCGAUGGCGAAGGCAGGUCUCUGGGCUGUAACUGACGCUGAGGAGCGAAAGCAUGGGGAGCGAACAGGAUUAGAUACCCUGGUAGUCCAUGCCGUAAACGUUGGGCACUAGGUGUGGGGACCAUUCCACGGUUUCCGCGCCGCAGCUAACGCAUUAAGUGCCCCGCCUGGGGAGUACGGCCGCAAGGCUAAAACUCAAAGGAAUUGACGGGGGCCCGCACAAGCGGCGGAGCAUGCGGAUUAAUUCGAUGCAACGCGAAGAACCUUACCAAGGCUUGACAUGUUCUCGAUCGCCGUAGAGAUACGGUUUCCCCUUUGGGGCGGGUUCACAGGUGGUGCAUGGUUGUCGUCAGCUCGUGUCGUGAGAUGUUGGGUUAAGUCCCGCAACGAGCGCAACCCUCGUUCCAUGUUGCCAGCACGUAAUGGUGGGGACUCAUGGGAGACUGCCGGGGUCAACUCGGAGGAAGGUGAGGACGACGUCAAAUCAUCAUGCCCCUUAUGUCUUGGGCUUCACGCAUGCUACAAUGGCCGGUACAAUGGGUUGCGAUACUGUGAGGUGGAGCUAAUCCCAAAAAGCCGGUCUCAGUUCGGAUUGGGGUCUGCAACUCGACCCCAUGAAGUGGGAGUCGCUAGUAAUCGCAGAUCAGCAACGCUGCGGUGAAUACGUUCCCGGGCCUUGUACACACCGCCCGUCAAGUCACGAAAGUUGGUAACACCCGAAGCCGGUGGCCUAACCCUUGUG